UAAAAGAUUGGUGAAUGCUGAUGAUUCCUAUUGUCUUUGUAGCAAGCCCAAGGAUUGCAAAGGCGACCUAAUUUUGGACGAAUGUGGAUGCUGCCAUGUUUGCUCGAAAGUGAAAGGCGAAGUGUGUUGGGGGCCAUAUGGUAUUUUGAGUAAAUGUUCUAGUGGCUUAAUAUGUAUACUAGAUAACUACGAGAACCAUCUUCUAGCAAAAGGGAUAUGCACACCGGAUUACCCAAGAACCCCAGAUAUCAAAUCUUAUUAACUAUUGAUCAGGAAUAGGUUGCUAGAGCUCCUUUAACGGAAUUUUGGGGAAAACAUAAAUCAUAAAUGAUUCAAAUUAGCUCAUCAUUAGAAAUAAAAACGACACAAAGGUUACGUAAAAUUGCCUACAAUCCACAAGAUAGCUUUUCCAAACAUGAUAGAAUAUAUUUCCUAGAAAAAUACGAUUUUUAAAUUUUUAAAA